rnacentral:lncRNA from 1 species
UAUUAUUAUUAUUUUUCAUCUUUCUUUCUUUUUCUUUUUUUCUCUUUUCCUUUUCUUCCCCACGCCACUUCCCAUCUUCAGCAGUCUCCAUCACCACUGUCGGUGGCGUGACGUCGAUGCCCCCCAUCCCCUUUUUCUCCCAUUUUCUUUUUUAUUGUCUUCCUUUCUUUUUUCUUUUUUUUUUUAUUAUUUUAUUUUAUUUUUGUUUUUCAAAAAGCCAUUAACCCUCAUCGCCGCCAGCGAGCCACUAUCGGUCAAUGACUCCUUCAUCUUUUCUCCCAUUCUCUC